UGGCAGGCGCAGGCUGGAGGGCGCGAGCCUGAGCUCCCGUCCUCGUCCCAGUCCCGCGGUUUCCUUCGGGGAGACCCCCCCCAACUUUGGCCCUCGGAUAUGGCAGCCCCGAGCCGGGGUUGAGGCUCCGGGUGUCAGAGCCCUCAUGAAGUUUGGAAUCAGCCUGAGAGUUCAAAACAUCCUUGGAGAGAAAGUUAUCUUUAUGGCAGAGACCUUUGGGGCCAUCGGAUAAGAAGUGUCCUCCUCUCCACCCACCACCUCCACCGCUUUCUUUGUCAUAUCUCUUGAAGUAAGAGUGUGGGACAUCUCAGAACACAGGGCAGUCUGUUGAGAUAGAUGCUAGGUUAGUGCUCUUCAGGAAGUUCUACACUUCCAGCAGAUGGAGAGAUGAGCCCCAGAAUCUUCAAGGACACUGAAAGAGACACACCCCAAAAGUUUCUGCAAGACCUACCUUCGGUUUACAAGAGAAAGACAGCAAGGAUGGGCAGUUUAUAUGCUGAAAGAGCGAUCUGCUGUGAUGCAGUUUGCCUUUGGAAAAACACCUAGGGACUUUGCUGUGUUAGGAGAGACAUCAGCAGCUCUCCUCCUUGGGGCGGGUGGACAGAUUGCAGAAGUUGCAGUUAAGCAGUUUCAACAGUGUGCAAAACAUGAAGGAUCGUAUUUAUUUAAAAAAACUGUAUUACGUACAUUAAUAAUGUACAAAAUUCAUAAAAUUAUAGAUGGAGGAAAGACGUUCCCUUGUGAUUCGAAUCCUAGGAUAUGGAGGUCUCCUUACCCGACAUUUAGACAAACACUUAAAUAGCCUUGCAAACAGGGAACACUCCCCUUUAUUGAACAUUGUUGUCAUUUCCUCCCGUCUAUCCAUUGCUUUUGACUUUGGCAUUUUGCACACUUCAUCUCACCUAAGUUCCACAUGUGCGAUCCUCGAAUAUUUUGGAAAUUUCUGUUACAUUCUCCCAGGGCUAACUUUUCCUACCAGUGAAAGAUUUCAAAACCCGACAGCUCCAAUUACCCUCAUCCUUCAUGCUAAGUUUAUGUUCAUAAAGUACGCUGUUCAGAACAUGGCUCCAUACUUAACAUACUCCAGUGAAGCGUGCAAGAAAAGGGUCUUCCUUGUCCGGAGAGAAAGCAUUUGUUGACAUAGCCUUGGACCAAGUUUAUUUUCUGGCAGCCAAAACCAACUCUUGAGGCAACGGACACUUAAAGUUGACCAGAUUUCUCAAGAAAUCUGCAUGCAUACUGCCAUUUGGUCACGUCUGUGCUCUGCAUGUGGGGGAGGGUUGCCCUCCUGCGCCCCUAAUUUGGGCUUUGUUAUUUAACAUGAGGAAGCUCUACCUUGCCACAGUCAGCCCAUUACAAUGUGUUGAGAUAACUUGGGAUCUUGACAUUGUCGAUAUGUAUUCCCCCUCUUCCUGCGGUCCUGGUGUACGUGUAUUUAAAGAAUUUGUCAUGUUUAUCUUCACAUCUUAAUAAAGUUAUAGGAAGAGAAAAGCUAAGGACAGGCUGGAUUGUGACUCAAGUAGAAAUGGAGUGUCCUUGUAAUCUUGUCCCAGUGCAGUGAUCCUCAACUUUUAUUGCACUUGGAAUCACAAAGGGUGGCUGUAAAAACAGAUGCUUGGCACACCACCAGAAUUUGCCAAAUUCUGGGAAAAGGCUUGGAUGUCAGAAUGCCUCCAAGAGGCAACCCGCAUUGAGAGCUUCACACAUUUCCAACAGCCUCAGGGUGUAGCAUGGUAUGAAUACCAUAACAUCGACAAACUCAACAUGUAUCAAAAUGUAUUAGUGACAGGAUUUUUUUUUAAAUCCUUAGCACAUACUUUUUCCACUUAAAUAUAGUUAUCUUCCUACUGCUAUCUCGGUUUGAUGCAAAUAAAAUUCUAGCAAAGGUGUUUAAAUAAAAGAAAUAUUGGUAGUCUUUAAAAACAAUAAAUACAGUAGGGCUGGCAGUAGAGCCCAAUGUUAGAAUGUUUACCCAUCAUGCAUGAAGCCUAGGGAUUAAAAGCAGCAGCAACAGCAGCAGUAGUAAUAUUAUUUAACAGCAUCCAUUUUUUAAAGAAUACCUAAGUUUUAGAAAGUGAAACAAAAGUUUCCCAACUGAACACCUAAAAAAUUUUAUGAAUCCUUCCCAUAUUUUGAAGUUUAAAAGAUCUUUUUUUUACUUUUUUCUUGUUUUGAAUUUUCUUUUUCUAUCAGUGACUUCCUCCAAGGUCUUUUAAGAUCCUGCGACUGUUAUUUUAAAUGUGCUUCCAAAGGAAGGUGUGGGGAGGAGUGGGGGGGACAUUUCACUAUUUGUUUUGUUUUCCAGAAAGUACUACUUUGUUAGUAGAAAGUGAGAUGAGAGAACUGGGCAGCAGUUGGAUAACACCUUCAGUUUGGUGGAGCUAUUGGGUUUCCAAUCCUUUUUUUUUUUUUUUCCGGAUCGUGUUUGAUAGCAAAUAACAAUAUGUCUAUGUCUGCAUCUUAUCAGAGUUUGCUAGCCUCCUCGGGGCCAGGUUCUGUCACCUGCCACCUUGAGAGUCCAUCAGAGUCAAGUGGUAGUGAUGUAAGAAAGGAAUUGUCGGUGUGGCGACACUGGGAAGACUGUAGGCCCUGUUCUGGGGAAUGGACAAGAAUUUCCAAGCCUACACAGGAGACGAAGCAAAGCCUGGCACAAGAAGUCCAGUCGAGCAAUUUUUAAUCAAGCUGGUGUGUGCUCCUUAUCAUUUGGUUGAUUUCCGCUUGGAGGGUCUGCUGACAAGGUGAAAAUCGUUACUGCUUGAGAAGCCACUUCAGUUUGCACUGGUUCCUGUCUACUUAAGGCUGGGGGUCCCCUGAUUUCCUCUGUGGGGUAAUGGUUCCCAUGUGGGGUCAGUGUUUGUCCCCCAUCCCUGAGCACUGAGCAAACUGGACUGUAAGAUUCACUGUUUGGGGAUCUUGAAAGUAUUGGUAUUUUAAUGCUUGAAAAGGGAUGAGAGGUUAGAUAUAUUUAAGACUGGUCAAUAUCAUUGCCAGUUUUUAGACUGGCACAUUUUUCUGUGUAGCUUUGGUGCCUGUCCUGGAACUCACUCUGUAGCCCAGGCUGGCCUCGAACUCACAGAGAUCCGCCUGCCUCUGCCUCCUGAGUGCUGGGAUUAAAGGCGUGCAACUCCACCGCCCGGCUCAGACUGGCACGUCUUAAGAACUUAACACUUCUCUAUACAGUACUUCAGCAGGAAUAUGACCCAAGCAGAAGAGACAACUUCAGGCCCAAACGGUGCUUUCAGCAAAUGCAGCCUUUAUGUGUCUUAGAUACACCGUGCAUACUCAAAUAAAUGUCAGAUUCUGCCCAUUUCCUUU